UUUUACUAAAGUAGUAUUAGUUAUGAUCUUGAAAUUUAAAAAUUUUGGCGGUAUUUUAGUCUAUUCAGAGGAACCUGUUCUAUAAUUGAUAAUCCACGAUAAAUUAUACUUUAUUUAAUAGUUUAUAUAUCGUCGUUAUUAAAUAUUUUAUAAGAAUUAUAAUAUUUAAGAUUUUUAAUUAAAAAAUAUAUCAGAUCAAGGUGUAGUUUAUAAUAAAGUAGAAAUGGGUUACAAUAAAUUGAUUUAUGAAUUUGUAUAUGAAAAUAUAUAAUGAAAUUGGAUUUGAUAGUAAUAAAUUUUAUAUUAAAUUUAUGAUUUUAGCUCUAAAAUGUGUACAUAUCGCCCGUCACUCUUAUUAUAAAAUAAGAUAAGUCGUAACAUAGUAGAUGUACUGGAAAGUGUAUCUAGAAUGAC
rnacentral:rRNA from 1 species